GACGAACGCUGGCGGCGUGCUUAACACAUGCAAGUCGAACGGUAAGGCCCUUCGGGGUACACGAGUGGCGAACGGGUGAGUAACACGUGGGUGAUCUGCCCUGCACUUCGGGAUAAGCCUGGGAAACUGGGUCUAAUACCGGAUAGGACUCCGGACUGCAUGGUCUGGGGUGGAAAGCUUUUGCGGUUUGGGAUGGGCCCACGGCCUAUCAGCUUGUUGGUGGGGUGAUGGCCUACCAAGGCGACGACGGGUAGCCGGCCUGAGAGGGUGACCGGCCACACUGGGACUGAGAUACGGCCCAGACUCCUACGGGAGGCAGCAGUGGGGAAUAUUGCACAAUGGGCGCAAGCCUGAUGCAGCGACGCCGCGUGAGGGUUGACGGCCUUCGGGUUGUAAACCUCUUUCAGCAUCGACGAAGCGAAAGUGACGGUAGGUGCAGAAGAAGGACCGGCCAACUACGUGCCAGCCGCCGCGGUAA
rnacentral:rRNA from 1 species